GAAACGGCUAAUGUAGAAUGAGCCAUCUGAACAGGUUUGGAUUGGAGAGGGCUCACUGGAUCCUAAUCCUGGAGCUGGAUCAUUGGAUUCAAAUCAUAGGAAUGAAUAGGAUAGGGAGGAUGAAUAACCAGGAUUCAUGGAGCGGGAUCAGAUAACAAGGAACAUAGGAGUGGAUUCCUGCCCCAUCUAAACAGCAUUCAUGUGGAAUUUUUUUUUUUUUUUCACAUCAAUUGGCCAUUCCAUAGAAUUUUUUUUCCUACAAGUGAAGCCCUUAGGAUGCAAGAAGGCGCUUGCCUUUUUUUUUUUUUGUUGUGUAUUAAGAGCAAAGAGGAGACCUGAGGCACGCUGGAGCCAUCUCCUGGGAAGGAUACCACACGAAUAGAUGGUAAACUUAAAGGGCUAAUGGGUGGGCUAUAAAUUGAUCCAUUCUUAACAUCUAAAUUUUAGCAAAUGGGAGUUUUAAAAAAAAAAUUGUAGACAUCCCCUCCCCCCCUUCCUAAUUGGCUGCAUUUUAUUUGAUUUUUGAAACGAAAAUAAAUGGAUAAGUAAAA